CUAUGACGCACAGUGGAAGAACCUGCCCUGCACCGCUGAGCCCAGAGGGACUCUUCCCCAUCCUUCCACCUUACCAUAGGUGUCUCUGUUCACUGCGGAGGAGUUGCACUAGAUCACCUUUAAAGGUCCCUUUCAACUCAGAAGAUUCUAUGAAGCCUCUGUCCUUCAGUUGUUUGUGGAGGAUCUAUGCUUCAGUAAAGUCCCUUUGCUGAGCUGUGCUUGGUUUUGUACCUUACCUUCUGCUUGCCUUGCUGACUUGACUCCAGACCUGCCUGUUAUCUUGGUGAACUGUCAGAGCCAUAGAUGAACCCAGAAAAAGGAGAAAGCUCUUAAAUUUUGCUGAAUUAUGUCUGACCAGUUCUAAUGAGAAUGUUUACAAAGGCAAAAUAUUUCAAAAGCUGUUGUAUGUAUACUCCUAAGAGUGGAACUUGGCAAAGCCUGUGAGUAAAUGAGAGAUCGGUAAAAACACACCUUUACAAAGGAAGACCUUCAGUCUGUGCAGGCUCAAAAGUCUCAAACAAUGGAAUAGUAACUACUCUGGCUCUCAAGUAUUAAUAUCUCCAAUAUCAAGCACUUUCAUUUGGACUGUUUUGUAAUAUCAGUGUCCAUUGAGCUACACUGCAUUCAAGUACGUGAGUUCCGUUGUUGCUUUUUGUCUUUGCUAAUAAAUAAAACCAGUUGAUCAGUUGA